rnacentral:rRNA from 1 species
CCCUUAGAUGUUCUGGGCCGCACACGCGCUACACUGAAGGAGGCAGCGUGUACUCCUGGAUCGAAAGAUUUGGGUAACCCGCGAAUCUCCUUCGUGCUAGGGAUUGAGGUUUGCACUUAUCCUUCAUGAACGAGGAAUUCCCAGUAAGUGCAAGUCAUAAGCUUGCGCUGACUACGUCCCUGCCCUUUGUACACACCGCCCGUCGCUACUACCGAUUGAAUGAUUUAGUGAGGACUUCGGACUGGGACCGAUGCGGCUUUCGGGCUGCGUCGGUAUUCUGGAAAGAUGUCCAAACUGUAUCAUUUAGAGGAAGUAAAAGUCGUAACA